rnacentral:tRNA from 1 species
GGAGAGGUGGCAGAGUGGUCGAAUGCGCCGGACUCGAAAUCCGGUAUACAGUUUCACUGUAUCGAGGGUUCGAAUCCCUCCUUCUCCGCCA